CAACUAAAGAGGAUAUGAUAAUUAGAACACUAGCAAAAAGAUGAAACAAAGUAGCAUAUUAGAGGAUGAAAUUGGCAGUUGAGCCAUACUAUUGCUCAAUUGCCACGCAAUCAUUCUUCAUGAAUGUAAUUGAAAAGAAAGAUGAAUUGAAUUUUCUCCCAAUUUCGCUGAGAGUUUUUAGUUUGGUAAUUGUGCAUUCUUUCAAAAUCAUCCCAUGAAAGGAG
rnacentral:lncRNA from 1 species